rnacentral:tRNA from 2 species
GGCUUUCGAUGGCGGCGUUGGUGCCGCCGGUGCUGAAUUUGCCGGCUCCGCUGGCCAGCUGCGUGGCGGAAGACGUUCUGCUGCGUCUCGGCAGCUU